UAACGUUCGGAAACGGACGCUAAUACCGCAUACGUCCUACGGGAGAAAGCAGGGGACCUUCGGGCCUUGCGCUAUCAGAUGAGCCUAGGUCGGAUUAGCUAGUUGGUGAGGUAAUGGCUCACCAAGGCGACGAUCCGUAACUGGUCUGAGAGGAUGAUCAGUCACACUGGAACUGAGACACGGUCCAGACUCCUACGGGAGGCAGCAGUGGGGAAUAUUGGACAAUGGGCGAAAGCCUGAUCCAGCCAUGCCGCGUGUGUGAAGAAGGUCUUCGGAUUGUAAAGCACUUUAAGUUGGGAGGAAGGGUUGUAGAUUAAUACUCUGCAAUUUUGACGUUACCGACAGAAUAAGCACCGGCUAACUCUGUGCCAGCAGCCGCGGUAAUACAGAGGGUGCAAGCGUUAAUCGGAAUUACUGGGCGUAAAGCGCGCGUAGGUGGUUUGUUAAGUUGGAUGUGAAAUCCCCGGGCUCAACCUGGGAACUGCAUUCAAAACUGACUGACUAGAGUAUGGUAGAGGGUGGUGGAAUUUCCUGUGUAGCGGUGAAAUGCGUAGAUAUAGGAAGGAAC
rnacentral:rRNA from 1 species